CAAAAGUCACUAUCUUUUGUUUUAAUAAGUGAAUAUAAAUGUAUCACUGCGUAAAAAACUUUUUUAAGUAUAUCAAAAUGGAAACUAUACAAAAAUUUUAUUUCAUGGUUACUCUUUGUAUUUUAUACUCAGCUUCCCACGUUGAAGGAUAUAACCGUUACAACCGUUACUACAGCUACUAUUAUUCCUACGAUGGCUUAUCUAUUGGUGCGAUUGUUGGUAUAGUUAUUUGUAGUUUAGUAGUCCUGGGAAUAGUGAUUACUUUCAUAUUUGCCCUGUGUGGUACUUUGUGCUUCAACAAACGGUCACACCGGGCUAUAACCAGUGUUCCCAUCAAUAAUGUCACAAUGGUUACAGCACAGCCAGGAUAUCCUCAAAUGCAGCCAAUGAACAACCAAAUGUUUGUACCAGCAUAUCAACCUCCCCCACCCCAAACAUAUCAACCUCCUCCACCCCCAGCAUACUACGAUAGUCAGCAUCAAACACCUGGAAUGGAAACAGACGUUUUUCAGACACCAUCUGCUCCAAGGCAGGACGGACACAACUCAGAACCAGUGAAUCCCUUUCUGACAACAACACACUUUGGAAAUUACAAUAGAUAGCUAUUUAAUUUGAAUGAAAUGAUAAUUAUUUCACUUGAUAUUCAAACAAAUUUAGAUGUUAUACAAUUAGUUAUGUUUUUAGGAAUAAAUAUAAACUGCACAA